rnacentral:rRNA from 1 species
CUCGUAGGUGGCCAACUAAGUCAGACGUGAAAUCCCUCGGCUUAACCGGGGAACUGCGUCUGAUACUGGAUGGCUUGAGUGUGGGAGAGGGAUGCGGAAUUCCAGGUGUAGCGGUGAAAUGCGUAGAUAUCUGGAGGAACACCGGUGGCGAAGGCGGCAUCCUGGACCACGACUGACGCUGAGGAGCGAAAGCCAGGGGAGCAAACG